rnacentral:rRNA from 1 species
CAUGACGGUACCGUAAGAAUAAGCACCGGCUAACUACGUGCCAGCAGCCGCGGUAAUACGUAGGGUGCAAGCGUUAAUCGGAAUUACUGGGCGUAAAGCGUGCGCAGGCGGUUUUGUAAGUCUGAUGUGAAAUCCCCGGGCUCAACCUGGGAAUUGCAUUGGAGACUGCAAGGCUAGAAUCUGGCAGAGGGGGGUAGAAUUCCACGUGUAGCAGUGAAAUGCGUAGAGAUGUGGAGGAACACCGAUGGCGAAGGCAGCCCCCUGG